GUUGUUGCGAUAGUAAUUCAACUCAGUACGAGAGGAACCGUUGAUUCGGACAAUUGGUAUUUGCGGUUGGCUGAACAGCCAAUGCCGCGAAGCUACCAUCCGCAGGAUUAUGACUGAACGCCUCUAAGUCAGAAUCCAUGCUAAACGCAACGAUCAGCUCUCCAAUUGUUAGACAAGAAUAGGCGGUUUCCGCCCUACGUCAAGCCCGGUUGUUCUGGCGUGCACGGAAGCGUGUACGUCGGUGACCCCAUGGCAACUGAAACACAAGGAGAGUGAAAUCCUUUGCAGACGACUUAAAUGAUGGACAGGGUAUUGUAAGCAGUAGAGUAGCCUUGUUGCUACGAUCUGCUGAGAUUAAGCCCAUUGUUCUUUGAUUU
rnacentral:ncRNA from 1 species